rnacentral:rRNA from 1 species
GACGAACGCUGGCGGCGUGCUUAACACAUGCAGGUCGAACGGAAAGGCCCUGCUUUUGUGGGGUGCUCGAGUGGCGAACGGGUGAGUAACACGUGAGUAACCUGCCCUUGACUUUGGGAUAACUUCAGGAAACUGGGGCUAAUACCGGAUAGGAGCUCCUGCUGCUUGGUGGGGGUGGGAAAGUUUCGGCGGUUGGGGAUGGACUCGCGGCUUAUCAGCUUGUUGGUGGGGUAGUGGCUUACCAAGGCUUUGACGGGUAGCCGGCCUGAGAGGGUGACCGGCCACAUUGGGACUGAGAUACGGCCCAGACUCCUACGGGAGGCAGCAGUGGGGAAUAUUGCACAAUGGGCGGAAGCCUGAUGCAGCAACGCCGCGUGCGGGAUGACGGCCUUCGGGUUGUAAACCGCUUUCGCCUGUGACGAAGCGUGAGUGACGGUAAUGGGUAAAGAAGCACCGGCUAACUACGUG